rnacentral:rRNA from 1 species
UACGAAGGGGGCUAGCGUUGUUCGGAAUUACUGGGCGUAAAGGGCGCGUAGGCGGUCCUGAUCGUCGGAUGUGAAAGGCCUGGGCUCAACCUGGGAACUGCAUCCGAUACGGCGGGACUGGAGUGUGGGAGAGGUUGGUGGAAUUCCCAGUGUAGAGGUGAAAUUCGUAGAUAUUGGGAAGAACACCGGUGGCGAAGGCGGCCAACUGGACCACACUGACGCUGAGGCGCGAAAGCGUGGGGAGC